CAAAAGGGCAAGCUCCAAAAUUCGCACCGAUUACACACUCUACAUGAAAUUUGUAAAAAAAAAAUUUAAUUUAAAGUUGAUUUGGCACUUUUGCUAUUGUAUUUGUCAUGACAGAUUACAAUACGGAAUCCCGUAAUAAGCAUUGUGGUCAAAUUUGUAGUUAUUAUAUGUUUUAUUUACUCUGCAUGUUUGGUAAAGCAGAGUUGUGCAAAGGAAUAAAAAGGAUCAGAAUGUCCUCAUCAAAAUGAAUGAAGAUGAGAUGACCGCAGUUGUUGAUGAUUUUGACUUAGCAGAGAAAAUACCAGAUUCAAGGGAUGGUAGUGAACGUUUACUAAUUGUUGGUUCCCCUUAUUGGAUGACACCUGAGUGUUUAAAGGGAAAGUGGUAUAAUGAAAAGUUCAUAAUUCGAGGACCCAUAUUGACAAAACUUAUUUAAAAAAACGCUAUUGAGACAGAUUUUGGAAGAUUCGAAAAGUCCAUCUUGUCAAGUCCCCAACUUCUUUUGAAUCCAAGUAUGGAAAAUAUGUGUUCCUUUCAAAUCGUAACUAUGUAUGGUGAUAAAUUUAAUUAUUAUCCUUUUUUUAAGCUACUUGUAAACAACUUUUGACUUAUUGAGUACUUAAAAUGCCUAAAGGUUUUUUUUAAAAUCUAUUUUACUCUUUUUCUUCUUUAUUACUCAAUAUGAAAGAUGUAUAUUGAGGAGAAAUAUCAAUAAAAAUUGGCUCAGAAGCAAAAUACUCUCCCUGUAUACAUCAUAUAAAUUGCGAACAAAGAAUU